UACCUCGCUGACCUGCUUUAAUCUCCUCCAACCUGGCCUUUGACUUCGGGGACUCCUCUUACCUUUCUUUACCUGCCAUGGCCUGCCCCUUCCCGGGGUCUCCUUCACCCCCUCCUCUCUGGUCCCAUCCCUUGUGCGAUCAAAGCCCCCGCCUUCCUCCACCGCUCGGCCUGCUCCGCUGAAGCCUCAUUUUGUGCCCCUGGGCUGGGAGGGAGUGUGUAGUGCAAAGUGGGGCAAGACUCCGGCUGGGCCGGGACCCUUUGUCGCCCCCUCCGCCCGUCGCGAGCCAGCCGGGGUUGCGGCGCUUCCUGGGCGGAGGGCUUGGACUCGCUGCGGCAGCUGCGGUUCUGCUGUGUCAUGCAAGAAGGAGGCGGCGGCGGCCGGAGCUGGAGGGGGAGGAGGGGAGGAACCUGAUCCUCCGGUAGCGAAGGGCUGGAGGCAAACACCGAGCUCCCCCAGAGCCGCCCGGGAGCAGGGAGGGCUCUGCUACCCCGGGGGGCCCUCCCCGCGGGGCAGAGGGCUGUACAAAACAGGAUGGAGCUGGCUUGGCCUGUGGACAGUAGUUUGGCAACCUCUGACAGACAGACAAAGACCAUGGCAGGGGAAAGAUGUCCGGAUUGGAGCUUCUGAAGGAAAUGAGCUGUCUCACAUGUGCCAUUUUUAAAAAAAAUUUCUCAAAUGUCUUUGACCAUGUAAACCCACUGACUUACCCCUGACAUACUUGGGACUAAAGUGUCCCCUCCAUUCAGGUAUUCAGUGGACCCUUUCCUCCUUCUCUUGCUUGUAACGUGCACAUGCAUGAAGGUAGAAACCUUUCGGCCAACAAUGGACCCGUAGAUGAUGGAGGACCCUUAGGACAAUGACGGCGUGAAGAUUUCCCAUUGCCUGGUGCAGUCAUAGCCAUCGGAACACCAUAGUACAAUGCCUCAUGUGCGUGGUGACGCUGGGUACUCAGCCUGCAGUGCCAGUCGCCUGAGGGUACAGCGCACACAAUCACGUGCAGGACGUAGUUCCUGCCAGCGACAAUAAACAGCCAUUACUGCUUUAUGUAUUUGCA
rnacentral:lncRNA from 1 species